AGAGUUUGAUCCUGGCUCAGGAUGAACGCCGGCGGUGUGCCUAAUACAUGCAAGUCGUACGCACUGGCCCAACUGAUUGAUGGUGCUUGCACCUGAUUGACGAUGGAUCACCAGUGAGUGGCGGACGGGUGAGUAACACGUAGGUAACCUGCCUCGGAGCGGGGGAUAACAUUUGGAAACAGAUGCUAAUACCGCAUAACAACAAAAGCCACAUGGCUUUUGUUUGAAAGAUGGCUUUGGCUAUCACUCUGGGAUGGACCUGCGGUGCAUUAGCUAGUUGGUAAGGUAACGGCUUACCAAGGCAAUGAUGCAUAGCCGAGUUGAGAGACUGAUCGGCCACAAUGGAACUGAGACACGGUCCAUACUCCUACGGGAGGCAGCAGUAGGGAAUCCUCCACAAUGGGCGCAAGCCUGAUGGAGCAACACCGCGUGAGUGAAGAAGGGUUUCGGCUCGUAAAGCUCUGUUGUUGGAGAAUAACGUGCGUGAGAGUAACUGUUCACGCAGUGACGGUAUCCAACCAGAUAGUCACGGCUAAUUACGUGCCAGCAGCCGCGGUAAUACGUUAUGUGGCCAAGCGUUAUCCGGAUUUAUUGGGCGUAAAGCCGAGGGCCGGGCGGUUUGCUUAGGUCUGAUGUGAAAGCCUUCGGCUUAACCGAAGAAGUGCAUCGGAAACCGGGCGACUUGAGUGCAGAAGAGGGCAGUGGAACUCCAUGUGUAGCGGUGGAAUUGCGUAGAUAUAUGGAAGAACACCAGUGCCGAAGGCGGCUGCCUGGUCUGCAACUGACGCUGAGGCUCGAAAGCAUGGGUAGCGAACAGGAUUAGAUACCCCUGGUAGUCCAUGCCGUAAACGAUGAGUAAUAGGUGUUGGAGGGUUUCCGCCCUUCAGUGCCGGAGCUAACGCAUUAAGCACUCCGCCUGGGGAGUACGACCGCAAGGUUGAAACUCAAAGGAAUUGACGGGGGCCCGCACAAGCGGUGGAGCAUGUGGUUUAAUUCGAAGCUACGCGAAGAACCUUACCAGGUCUUGACAUCUUGCGCUAACCUUAGAGAUAAGGCGUUCCCUUCGGGGACGCAAUGACAGGUGGUGCAUGGUCGUCGUCAGCUCGUGUCGUGAGAUGUUGGGUUAAGUCCCGCAACGAGCGCAACCCUUGUUACUAGUUGCCAGCAUUAAGUUGGGCACUCUAGUGAGACUGCCGGUGACAAACCGGAGGAAGGUGGGGACGACGUCAGAUCAUCAUGCCCCUUAUGACCUGGGCUACACACGUGCUACAAUGGACGGUACAACGAGUCGCAAGCUCGCGAGAGUAAGCUAAUCUCUUAAAGCCGUUCUCAGUUCGGACUGUAGGCUGCAACUCGCCUACACGAAGUCGGAAUCGCUAGUAAUCGCGGAUCAGCAUGCCGCGGUGAAUACGUUCCCGGGCCUUGCACACACCGCCCGUCA
rnacentral:rRNA from 1 species